GAAUGUAACCAGAUUCGCCUGCAGGGCAAGGAGAAGGAACCUUUUUCAUCAGUCUUCAAGAUAAUUAGGUGAUGGAGAUGCUCUACAUAGCUCAUGCUGUCCUAGAAGACACUACCUAGACAAAGCUUGCCCACACCUCAUGGAUCUACCUAGAUAGCCUGCUCAGGGCUAGGAUUAAAGUGUGCAAACCCACAAGGACCAAAACUGAUUGUUUCCUAUAACUAGCAAUAUUCACUUUAGAUACUUUUCUGCUUGCAUCCAUUUCUGUCUGGAGCCAUAAUGGGACAAGCUAAAAACUAGCAGAUGAUAUCACUGAGACUGCCCACUUCAGAUUAUUAUAUAAUCUGAGACAGGUACAUUUUAGGAAAGAUUGUUGCUCUUAAUAUGCUUUUCCUGUUAUUAGUAAGCAUAUAUAACAAUCAUUAAGUAAUAGCCCAACCUUUUGGAGUAGGUAUCUGCAGAUUUAGGAAGAUGUAUUGUUGUGUAAUGAUGCUAUACAGACAAAUAGAUGGCUUUUUAAGUCUUUA